UAACCUCUGACGAGAUACGUGAAUGUUG
rfam:Polaribacter sp. MED152, complete genome.